rnacentral:sRNA from 1 species
UAAAAUUGAAAAUUCGUGCUGUAGACCGCUGGUGCUUUGCGUAAUGGCAUUAAAACAAAAUGCCGCCAGCCGAGGCCUUAAAAACCUUAGCGUGACAACGCGGGGCCUCUGUCCAUGUCUACAGGGGCCUCUUUUAGUUUCAAAU